GGAGCUCCCUGGGAGCUGGCUAGUGGCAGCUCCUCCCCACUGCUCAGCAUCAUCACUUCCCCCACUUCUUCUUCUCUAAAAGGAAGGUGGACCCUGGGAGUCAAGGCCCUGCCUCUGGUGAUUUCAGCUCCUUGCUUGCUGUGUGACCUUGAAUAAGUGCCCUGCCCCUCUCUGGGCCUCCGUUCUCUCCAAGUCUCCACCCUUAUUGCUAAUGUCCUACCAUCUCCUGAAUCAGAAUCCUUUUGGAAAUGUGUUAUUGUUUUCACUGCUUUCUGUCUCUGCUGGGGAGUACACACAGGGUUGAGAGCAGAACACUGGGACAUUUGACAACACAAAAGUAGUAAUAAUACCGGCUUUUGUGUGUGUGCCCUUUAUCAAGUGCCUGUGUGUGCCAGGCACUUUGAUCACCAGUAAUCCCCAUACAAGCCCUAUGGGGGCAGCAUUAUUAUCUCCCUUGAUAAGACUGAGUAACCAAGGCUCAGAGAGGUGAAGUCACUUGUCUAAGACCACACAGUGAGGGAAGGAAGGAGAUGGCAUUUUCCUACCCCCUGCUAAGUUGCAGCUGCAAAGAGGC